GAGUAAUGUCUGGGAAACUGCCUGAUGGAGGGGGAUAACUACUGGAAACGGUAGCUAAUACCGCAUAACGUCGCAAGACCAAAGAGGGGGACCUUCGGGCCUCUUGCCAUCGGAUGUGCCCAGAUGGGAUUAGCUAGUAGGUGGGGUAACGGCUCACCUAGGCGACGAUCCCUAGCUGGUCUGAGAGGAUGACCAGCCACACUGGAACUGAGACACGGUCCAGACUCCUACGGGAGGCAGCAGUGGGGAAUAUUGCACAAUGGGCGCAAGCCUGAUGCAGCCAUGCCGCGUGUAUGAAGAAGGCCUUCGGGUUGUAAAGUACUUUCAGCGGGGAGGAAGGGAGUAAAGUUAAUACCUUUGCUCAUUGACGUUACCCGCAGAAGAAGCACCGGCU
rnacentral:rRNA from 1 species